rnacentral:rRNA from 1 species
GUAAGUGUUUUAGCAAUAAGACACCAAGAGUGACGCACGGGUGCGUAACACGUAUGCAACCUACCCUUUACAGGCGGAUAGCUCGGGGAAACUCGAAUUAACCCGCCAUAAAAUAAUUGGAUGGCAUCAUUUGAUUAUUAAAACUGAGGUGGUAAAGGAUGGGCAUGCGUCUGAUUAGUUAGUUGGUAGUGUAACGGACUACCAAGACGAUGAUCAGUAGGGGAACUGAGAGGUUGAUCCCCCACACUGGCACUGAGAUACGGGCCAGACUCCUACGGGAGGCAGCAGUAGGGAAUAUUGGUCAAUGGGUGAGAGCCUGAACCAGCCAUGCCGCGUGCAGGAAGAAGGCCUUCUGGGUUGUAAACUGCUUUUGCCAGGGGAUAAAAAUACCUUGCGAGGUAAAUUGAAGGUACCUGGUGAAUAAGCCACGGCUAACUACGUGCCAGCAGCCGCGGUAAUACGUAGGUGGCAAGCGUUGUCCGGAUUUAUUGGGUUUAAAGGGUGCGUAGGCGGCCCUGUAAGUCAGUGCUGAAAUAUCCCGGCUUAACCGGGAGGGUGGCAUUGAUACUGCGGGGCUAGAGUACAGAUGAGGUAGGCGGAAUUGACGGUGUAGCGGUGAAAUGCUUAGAUAUCGUCAAGAACACCUAUAGCGAAGGCAGCUUACUAGGCUGUAACUGACGCUGAGGCACGAAAGUGUGGGGAUCAAACAGGAUUAGAUACCCUGGUA